rnacentral:ncRNA from 2 species
UGUGCGGGUGUGUGCUAUAUUCUGAGUAUUGCCUCCUGUUGUAGUUGUGGAAUAUUGAAAUAUCAACUAUACGGUUCGGAAUCCUCUAAAUAUGGCAGCCACUAAAGACAA